rnacentral:rRNA from 1 species
GUGGAGCAUGUGGCUUAAUUUGACUCAACGCGGGGAAUCUUACUAGGUCCGGACCGAGUCUAUGAACGUCGUACCGUUGGGUGCUACGUGAUUACUGGAUGAGUGGUGCAUGGCCGUUCUUAGUUCGUGGUGUUAAUUGUCUACUUAAUUGUUUUGAUUCUCGCCUCGUACGAGAAUUGGUAACGAACGAGAUCGAGACCCGUGGUUUGAAUUCGGUAUAUCUACGGGGAUCGCGUAAUACUCAACGGUACGAUCGAAAGACUCGGCAAUAACAGGUCUGUGAUGCCCUCAGAUGUUCUAGGCUGCAMACGUGCUACAUUGUGAGUUGUAGUAUAUUGUGUAUGCGUAGAUAUGUCUAAGAUCCCCCGCAUCGAGUCUCAAUUACUCACGUGGUUGGACUCACCGAUUGUCAAUUAUUCGGUAUACUAA